GUGUGGUGAAAUCCAGAGCCCCCUGCAGAGUCACAGCACCGUAAUAGAUGAGUCCACGCCCGCUGCAGUGAAGGGAGACAGGAAAACGCUGUGUCCUUUGCAUCUCCGAGGUCCACUGAAAUGCCGUCUGCUGUGUCCCUGGGCAGGGUCUGGGGCUCCUCCACCAGUGCAGUGAGCCAUUUCCAUGGUACCGCUUUUCCUAAAGGUGACCUCAGGAAAAUCAGGAGAGCAUCAGAGCACACACAUUUAUCAGGAACUUUGAUCAAAUUUGAUGAGACCGCUCACAUUUAGGCACCUCAGACUUUGCUGUCUUUUGAGAGUGUGUCUUCUCUAUUACUAUAAAGACCAUUUGCUUUUGAAUAUUUUCUAUGUCUCUUAUUAAGAAGCUCUUCUACGUCUCUUAUCGGGAGCUCUUCAUAUUCAGGGUCCUGGGGUGUCUUUGAGAAUAUGCUGGGAUCAUUUUUGUAACUCUGAGGCUGGAACAGCACACUCUGGAAGGAAGGACAUACGUCAGGUUACUGACUUCUCUCAGGUAAGUCUAAUGCCGAUUCCCCAGCUUUAUGCACAGAAUGGCAGCUAUUCCAGGAAAAGGCAGCAUAUAAUUAAGUUCUUUGAAUAACUGCCAAUCAUCAGUCUAGUACAAGCAUUUUAAUUCAGUUAAAUGAAGCCAUGUGUUUGUAGCAGUGGUCAGAUAAUAUCCCAGACAAUUUGAUCCAAUAGUAUUCCUUUGUAACUUUAAAAAAAAAAAAGAAAGAAUUCUAAGGUCACAAGGUGGGACAAGCAGAGCAUAAGAUAGAACUUGAUUCCAUUCUUUUGGCAAGCCCUCCUCAGUAAGUCACUCUAGAAAUUGAGUCGUUGAAGAAAUUGCCCCUGCUCAGAAGGGAGGCAGCCAGGGCCAGUGUCCUGAGCACCAGCACAAACUCACAGCGAUGCCGGGAAGGACAUGAACUUCCUGGAGCCGCUGCUCCUGUUCGCUGCACAGGACCGAAGCAGAUGGACUCUCGUGUUGAGCUCUCUCCUGCAGAGAGGCUCAGCUGCUCAGCUCCUCCAUCCUCAUCUGCUCCCCCCACCUGUUUUCCAUCCCCACCCGAACCACCACCCGCUGCGUUUCAAGACCCAUGGCAAGAGCUGCACCUCCCAGGCUUGGUGACCAGGACAGAGUCUGGGUGGCCUUCCUCCCUUACUCACCCCAGGGAAGUCAGACUGAGCCUGUUUCCACCACAGCACAGCCAGGAGCACAGCCAGAGGGAGCUCCAGCGCCCUGCAGAUCAGCAUCACAGACGAGGUGUCUUUCAAAGCAGGAGGGCAGAGGCUUUCCGCGUGACCUCAUGA
rnacentral:lncRNA from 1 species